GGGGAGUAGCGAUCUGUGCGGGCUUCGGCUCGACUCUCCACCCGUUGUGACGUGCCGCUGUUGUUUUGGCGGCUCCCGCUCGCCCUAUGACCUCCUGAGUCCAGUCAGUUGACGCAGACCUCUGAUAAACUAGUUAAUAAACUAAAACUUUCGACAACGGCAUCUCUUGGAUUAUGGCAUUGAUGAAGAACACAGCAUUGGCUCU
rnacentral:rRNA from 1 species